GACGAACGCUGGCGGCGUGCUUAACACAUGCAAGUCGAGCGGAGCGGCGCACGGGUGAGUAACGCGUGAGUAACUGCCCCCCUCUCUGGGAUGACAGUUGGAAACGGCGGCUAAUCCCGGAUAUUGGGGGAUGACUCGCUUCCAAUCAGCUUGUUGGUGGUGUAGUGGCCUAACAAGGCGACGACGGGUAGCCGGCCGGCGGGGGAGACCGGCCACAUUGGGCUGAGAUACGGCCCAAACUCCAACGGGAGGCAGCAGUGGGGAAUCUUGCACCCUGGGGGAAACCCUGAUGCAGCAAUCCGCGUGAGGGAUGUCGGCCUUCGGGUUGUAAACCGCUUUCAGCCAUGACGCGGUAGUGGCAGAAGAAGCACCGACUAACUACGUGCCAGCAGCCGCGGUAAUAC
rnacentral:rRNA from 1 species